UUCCUAUUGCCUAUAAAUUGCAGAGGAACGCGCUCUAUUGGCGUCUUAGAGCUUUGUGGAGAAACUCUGGUUCAUUCUAGAGGAAUUGCUGAACAAAGUGAGGCAAGCAGAUCCUGAAAGCUUGACAGGAUGAGAGCUAAGUGGAAGAAGAAGCGUAUGAGGAGAUUAAAGAGGAAGCGCCGAAAGAUGAGGCAGAGAUCCAAGUAGGCGCUUGAAAUUUCAACAAGAUGGGGUUUUCUCCUGAUACCUUCAGCUUGCCCUGCUUGAAUGGUUGGAGGAUGUGGAAAACUUCAUUUGGUUGUCUUCUAGUUUUAGUAACUUAUUUUGAGACUUGUUCUAUUUAAUGUGUUGAGAUAAAUUUGACUUGAUAUUCUGGUGAAAUGGAUGAUGAGACUUGUUUUAAAGGUUAAUGCACUCUAGCCUAUGCUUAAUCUACUAUUCUAUUCUGCAUGUGACAAGUGAAUGUAAAUUGUCUAGAGAACAAACGUCCAUUCUGAUGGACCUUGCACUUCGGGCUCCAAGUAGCAGUACUAGGGUGCAGGUCUCAUGAGAUCUAUGCCUUCGAAGGCUUAUUCACCGACUCACAUCGGAGCCAACUACUCGAUCUACUUCUUGUUUUGUAGCAGUAGUAUUACUAGUGUGCAGGCCCCACGAGAUCUAUGCCUGUGAAGGCUUAUUCACCAACUCGCAUCAGAGCGGACUACUUAAUAUACUUCUUGUUCCUCCUCUCAUUUAAACCUGCCUCGUGCCAAGUGUUGUCAGGAUCUCUCUCUAGUUGUCUGCUUUAAAAAUUACAAUAGAAACUUAUAAUUUGGAAUCACGUGAUGCAAUAACAAUUAAGAAGUGAUGAAGUCUAAACAAAUCAAGAACAUAAAUUUCAGCUUCACUUUAUUCUAAAGAAUCUAUGCAAAGCUAUUAUCAACGCAAGAGGAGGGCAUUAAACAUGACAUUGAGCAUGAGAAGAUGAUGUUUCAUCUUAAAAAAAGGUUUGAAACUAUCACAUAGUAACACAGGACAAGACAAAUAUCAAUACCUUGUAGUGAGCCCACAGAUAGAAUCAGAUCAAUAUUAUCAACACGGCGCUGUAUAGAUUUUAGAAGAGAGUUCAAUGACGAAACUCUCUUUCUAACUCCUGAAAUCUUUGCAGCAUGCUGCAUAAUGAACGGCAAGGGCGCAUCUUCUAACAAUUGAUCAAGCUCUAAUACCAUUCAAAGAAAUUAAACAUUUCAACUUUACAACACAUACGUAUACAAGAAAUUUAUAAGAAAUAACGAACCCAGAAGAUAACUCAACGUCAUAAAUAGUAUAAUGACCUCUGGCAAGACGAUCUAUAGCGCAAUUAAGGUAGUCUUGACUUUUGAGAGUGUCCUGAGCUUUAGAAUCGAAGUCCCUGAUAAUACUGGCAAGCAUCGUAGAUAAACCCUUAGCGAACGCAUCGCUGCUCCUGUUGUUUUCAUUGUUGGCAUUGGGCUCACAUUGGUGUCCUUGAGGGAUGUUUUCACUGGGAUCAUUAUUUCCAUUAGACGAAACUGAAGGGGCAAUUUGAACAGAAACAGCAACGGUGUUAUCUUCGCUGGGAUUGCAGCGGUCUUUUGGGGUUUCCAUUUUCAGUGGAGAUAGCUGAGAAUCGAAGGAAGAUGAAGAAUUAGAUGUGGCUGGCUUCUAAAGAAUGGUCUAAACAACCCAUUAACAGUUUCAUUGGAUCUCAAUGAGGCCCAUCAUAUUUUCCUAUGUACUGAAAAACCGAAAGACAUACAAGGACGAAAAUAGCCCUCAAGUUUCGUGAGGCUAUGUCGGAUUAGGGUUUCCGGUUGCUUAUAAAUUUCAGAGAGAAGCUCCCCUGUGCUCUCCUCAAGCUUCGAUUGAAAACCCUGGUUAUCCCGGAGGAAUCUCUGUACGGAGUGACACAAGUAGAACCUGAGGGCUUUACAGGAUGAGAGCUAAGUGGAAGAAGAAGAGAAUGAGGAGAUUGAAGAGAAAGCGCCGAAAGAUGAGGCAGAGAUCUAAGUAGGCGCUUGGAUUUUGAACAAGAUGGGGUCUUCUCCUGAUACCUUCAGCUUGCCUUCAUUUUGAUUUAUCGUCUGGCUUUAGAUUUAGCUAUUGAUUUUGAGACUUCCAGUUAAAUUUUUUGAGUGGUGUUUCACUUGAUUACAGUAUACUUUCUAAGUGGAUGAUGAAAAUUUUUUUAAAUGUUUAUGCAGUAUAUCCUAAUGCUUAAUCUACUGUUCUAUUCUGGAUGA